GAUGAACGCUGGCGGCGUGCCUAAUACAUGCAAGUCGAGCGAACAGACGAGGAGCUUGCUCCUCUGACGUUAGCGGCGGACGGGUGAGUAACACGUGGAUAACCUACCUAUAAGACUGGGAUAACUUCGGGAAACCGGAGCUAAUACCGGAUAAUAUAUUGAACCGCAUGGUUCAAUAGUGAAAGACGGUUUUGCUGUCACUUAUAGAUGGAUCCGCGCCGCAUUAGCUAGUUGGUAAGGUAACGGCUUACCAAGGCAACGAUGCGUAGCCGACCUGAGAGGGGGAUCGGCCACAAUGGAACUGAGACACGGGCCAGACUCCUACGGGAGGCAGCAGGAGGGAAUCUUCCGCAAGGGGCGAAAGCCUGACGGAGCAACGCCGCGUGAGUGAUGAAGGUCUUCGGAUCGUAAAACUCUGUUAUUAGGGAAGAACAAAUGUGUAAGUAACUAUGCACGUCUGGACGGUACCUAAUCAGAAAGCCACGGCUAACUACGU
rnacentral:rRNA from 1 species